UUCAGGGGAGGCCGGCAUGAGGGGUUUUGUGAGCAAGGGUCUGGGAAGGUAAGGGUUAAGUGGAUGAGUGCAGGGAAAGGGGGGAGGAGCUAGGAGGGGGCGGGAAGCGGCAGGCUGUAGUAGUGGUGAGGCAGGUCAGCGCCCGCCAUUUUAGGAGCAGAGAGGCAGCAUCUUCUGAACGGCAGCAUCAGAGACAGCAAUGGCAGAAGCUGUGGAGGUGAUGCUGCGGCGAUUGAGGGAAGCAGCGGACACCAGGGGCAGCGACUGGCUGGAGGAGCAGGUGACUGCAUUGCUAAGGGGGGCGGAGGUGGGUACGUCUGGCCCUACUCCAUUAGCUACACGGUCGCGGCGGGCACGGCCGCCGGCGCGCCUGAGCCCUGAUUUACCCCCCCGGGUCCGGCGCCGUGUCAGGAGCCCCACAAGGGACCCUCCACGCCGGGAGCAUUCUAAGGCUACUGCGGCCUCCCGGCGUGGGAGGAAUCCACAUGUCCGGCGGGACCCUCCAGAGGCUGUGGGGCCUUCCCCUCAGCCCACCACUUCAGCUACAAGGGAGUCAGGACCUGGUUCUGCAGGAUCCCCUCCUGUCCCCAGGAGUGGGAGGCCUGCUCAGCGUGGGAGAGGUAGUGGCAGCAGAGGCAGCAGCGGGGCUGCGCGGUCGGCCAGGGCGGCCCGGCGCAGGCUCUUACAGGAUGGGCCCCUUUCAGUGGCACACGAGGCUGCGCCUGUAGGUGCCGGGGACGGGCGCAGGCCUCGCCAUGAUGCGCUUCUUUCAGAGGAGGAGGACGAGGCUGUUCUGGACGGCUCCCCGCCCCAGAGCAGGCCUCUUGGGCAUGAAGACAGGCGCGCAGAUGCUUAUAUGGAGGAAAGGGAGUUGCGCAGGCCAUUUCCUGAGGGCGGACAGUUUGCUACUGGUCCUGACACCGUUGAAGACAGAGGGCGUCCCAGAGCCAUUCCUAACGCACCCAGCAGGGAUCCGGCUGGGGUGCUGCCGGCGAACAGCGCAAGUACCCACCAGAGGAACGUCGCGGAUCCAGGAGUCGUACGUCAGGAAUCAGGACCUGCGGCUGCCGGGUUCACAGCACCCGGGCAGCUAGGUGAGCCAUCACUGGGAACACUGUUAUCUCUAUUUAAUGUGGCGCCUGGGGCGGGUGGGAGCAAUAGUGCGAUUAUCGGUGGUUUGGGGCGCUUGCUGUGUGGUUUAGCUGGAGUUAGUCAGGAUAGGGGGGCAAUGGGGGCUACCCCCUUAGCAGCGUGGGGGUUGGGGGCAGAAAAUAGCAAUGUACCGGCGACCCCUAACAAUAGUAAUGUAGCAGUGGCCAAUAGCACGGGUGUAGCCGAAUCAGUGUCAGUGCAGACGCAGGCGGGAGGUGAGGAGGAUAGGCCCAGAUUAGAUGACGCCGCGAAAGGGGAGGUGUAUGUCUGCUUUGAGGGUCCCCUGGGAGCGCAUUUGAAAACGGAGGUGCGUGAGAAAAUUUGGAAGGGGGAGUACAUAGAAAUUUUUUCGCUGCUUCCGUUGGAGCGGUUCAACCUGGAUGUGGUAAAAAAGGACGGAGUAAGAAAGGAGGAUGAUGAUAAGCGUCGCUAUCGCCUUAUCCCUAGGUCUUUUAGUAAUUGGCUGCAGGCCUUUGCUAUUUUAGCAAGUGUGAUUGGGGAGAAGAGUCCGGAAUGCUGUUCCCCUUUAUUUUGCUAUCUGGAUGCUAUUGGGGAGGCCUAUAGAGUGUAUGGGGGUUCCGGGUGGUUACGGUAUGACGAGCAGUUUCGUCAGAGGAAAGCGGUCCGUCCUAAUAUGAGAUGGGACCAUAAGGACAUUGCUUUAUGGAUGAGGGUGACAGCGCCAGGUAGGAGUGGUCAGUCCUUUCGGAGUGAGUCAGGGGUUGGGGUACAGCAAGGUACAGGGCCGCCCCCAGUUGGAAGAGGAUACUGCUUCCUUUUCAAUGAGGGAAGUUGCAAAUUCGGCCAAAAAUGCAAAUUUAGGCACGAAUGUUCCGUGUGUGGCGGGGGCCAUGGGGCUAGCAGAUGUUUUAGAGGGGGUAGGCAAAGGGGAGGGGAUAGUUUUGCAAAAGGGGCAGACCCCAGUGCGAGUGGAAAGGAUGGUGGGGCAUCUAAAUAGAUAUCCGAACCAGGAGUUAGCUGGAUUUUUGUAUUCGGGGUUUAAGUUCGGUUUUCAUAUACCUUCGCACCCGUUACCGGUUUUAGAGAAGCGGAAGAAUUUGCGCUCGGCAUUGCAGUUCCCGGACAUAGUGACAGGAAAGUUAGCUAAAGAGGUUUCCCUAGGGAGGAUGGAUGGGCCGUUUGUUACAUCACCCAUCAGUAACUUGCGAGUUUCCCCUUUGGGUUUGAUCCCUAAGAAGGAGCCUAAUAAAUUUAGGCUCAUCCACCAUUUAUCAUUCCCUAAGGGUGCGUCGGUCAAUGAGGGCAUUGACCCGGAACUUUGUUCUGUGGUUUAUGCUUCCUUUGAUGCGGCUGUGGAAUGGGUAAGGAAGCUGGGUCCGGGUACCCUGUUGGCAAAAUGUGACAUUGAAGCGGCAUUUCGGUUGUUGCCAGUUCACCCGGAUAGUUUGUAUUUACUGGGUUGUUUUUGGAAUGGCGCUUAUUUUGUGGAUAGGUGUUUGCCAAUGGGCUGUUCAAUAUCGUGUGCAUAUUUUGAGCGUUUCAGUUCUUUUCUGGAGUGGGUGGUGGUUCAGGAAUCAGGUUGUCACUCUGUCAUUCAUUAUUUGGAUGAUUUCCUGUGUUUGGGGCCGGGGGGAUCUAGGGUUUGUUCGUUGUUGUUAUCCACAUUACAGUCUGUUUUUGAGGGUUUCGGAGUCCCGUUAGCAGUAGGCAAAACGGUGGGGCCGGCUACUGAGCUAAGUUUUUUGGGUAUCGUCAUCGAUACACAGCGGAUGGAGUGUAGGCUACCAGUAGACAAAGUGUCAGAGUUAAGAACAGGGGUGGCGGCGGCAUUGAGAGCAAAGAAGAUUCGUCUGCGGGACCUGCAGUCUUUGUUGGGCAAAUUGAACUUUGCAUGCAGAAUCCUACCAAUGGGCCGCAUUUUUAGUAGGAGGUUGGCUUCGGCGACAGGAGGGGUGGUGUCUCCUCACCAUUUUAUUAGACUAGGCAGUGAGUUGAAAGGGGAUUUGAAAGUUUGGGAUUCCUUUUUAAAACAGUUUAAUGGCAGAGCAUUAGUUAUGGGGGGGGUGGUUGAUGCGUUUGAUUUCGAAUUGUUUACGGAUGCUGCGGGUGGAGCGGGUUUUGGGGCGUACUGUGAAGGGCAGUGGUGUGCGGGUCGGUGGCCUGAGUCCUGGGUACGAAACGGGUGGGUAAGAAACGUGGCAUUGUUGGAACUCUUCCCCAUUGUGUUGGCAGUCACGCUCUGGGGGGAGAAGUUUCGGCACAAGAAGGUUCGUUUCCAUUGUGACAACUUGGGAGUUGUGCAAGCCAUCAACAGUGUAACGGCCUCUUCCCCCCCAGUUAUUUGCCUGUUGCAGCAGUUGGUUCUCCGGUGCUUGUCCCUUAAUGCUUGGGUGUUUGCAGUGCAUGUGCCUGGUUCCUCUAACUGUAUAGCUGACGCACUUUCUCGUUUUCAGUGGGAGCGGUUUCGCCAGCUGGCCCCGGAGGCGAGUCAGGUCGGAUUGGUGUGUCCAGAGUCGUUGUGGGAGAUCCUGGAGGUGGUGCCCCGUUAUUAGUUUGGAUCCUGGGCCAUUCGUUCGUGUUCUGGGGGGCAUUACGAGCGGAUGUUCGGCAGAAUGGGCGGCAGCUGGGGUUUGAUCGGGGGACGGCCAUAGUGAGAUGGAUCGGACGCAGAGGUAUGGUGUGGGGUAGUGUUUUGCAGGAGGUUCAUCGGCAAGCCAGGUUAGAUAGAGUCCCGGAUAUCUUGGUGUUGCAUGUUGGGGGAAAUGACCUAGGGGUCCGACCUUGCAGAGAGUUGAUCAGGGAUAUUCGUUUUGAUUUUUUGCGUUUGUGGUCCCUCUUCCCGUCAGUUGUCACUGUGUGGUCGGACAUUGUCCCCAGGAAGGUCUGGAGGGAGGCGAGAUCGGUUGAAAGGCUGAAUAAGGCUAGGAUUAAGCUGAACAGGGUGAUUGGGCGGUUCUGUGCCAAACAUGGGGCGGUGGUGGUGAGGCACCCCGAGUUGGAAGCAGGAACAGGAGGUUUUUGGAGACAGGAUGGAGUCCACCUCAAUGCGGUGGGCAUUGAUUUGUGGUCACUGGACUUACAGGGAGGUGUCGAAACAGCCAUCCGGGUGUGGCGGAACGCGCGAGCUUAAGGGCUGUCAAGCUGCGCGUUGUUGGCGGGGGGAGGUCAUAGAAGCUGGGGCUACUGGAUGGUAACGGUGAAUGAGAGGGCCUCAAUGGUGGGGCUGGACUCUCAGAGUUGGGGCACCUGGUUGGUUUGGUAUGGCGUCCGUCAGUUGGUGUCCCCGAGCUUGUGGUACGCGGCUGGGGGCAAGAUGGAAUUGCCGUGGUGGUUUGUGGUCGUUUAAGGUGCAGUUAGGCGGCUUCUAGGACCUCCCUCGUCAGUUAGACAUGUAUAUAUUUAUAUAUAUAUGUCAUUGUUAUAUCAAGUGUUAUGUUUAUUCAUGUUAUUUAUAUUAUUUAAUAAAAGACGGCUGCUGUGGCCGAUUUAAUCCAAGCAGUGGCUGUGUGUGGUUAUUGGGAGAGGAAAAGGGGAAGGUUAGUUAGCUAAAUGAUGGGGUAGUGGACCCGAGCGUAGCCAAUAACCCUACUCAAGUGAGGCCGUACGAAGCGGCACGCUUCAGGGGAGGCCGGCAUGAGGGGUUUUGUGAGCAAGGGUCUGGGAAGGUAAGGGUUAAGUGGAUGAGUGCAGGGAAAGGGGGGAGGAGCUAGGAGGGGGCGGGAAGCGGCAGGCUGUAGUAGUGGUGAGGCAGGUCAGCGCCCGUCAUUUUAGGAGCAGAGAGGCAGCAUCUCCCUCCCUCCCUCCCGUAGUGUGUACUGGGAUGUUUCAGGGCGGCAACGGUAUAUUAGAGGGAUGCAUAUAGGAAAAAGUAAUAAAAUAAAA